AUUGAACGCGGCGACAUGCCUUACACAUGCAAGUCGAACGGCAGCACGGGAGCAAUCCUGGUGGCGAGUGGCGAACGGGUGAGUAAUACAUCGGAACGUGCCCAAUCGUGGGGGAUAACGCAGCGAAAGCUGUGCUAAUACCGCAUACGAUCUACGGAUGAAAGCAGGGGAUCGCAAGACCUUGCGCGAAUGGAGCGGCCGAUGGCAGAUUAGGUAGUUGGUGAGGUAAAGGCUCACCAAGCCGUCGAUCUGUAGCUGGUCUGAGAGGACGACCAGCCACACUGGGACUGAGACACGGCCCAGACUCCUACGGGAGGCAGCAGUGGGGAAUUUUGGACAAUGGGCGAAAGCCUGAUCCAGCCAUGCCGCGUGCAGGAUGAAGGCCUUCGGGUUGUAAACUGCUUUUGUACGGAACGAAACGGCCUUUUCUAAUAAAGAGGGCUAAUGACGGUACCGUAAGAAUAAGCACCGGCUAACUACGUGCCAGCAGCCGCGGUAAUACGUAGGGUGCAAGCGUUAAUCGGAAUUACUGGGCGUAAAGCGUGCGCAGGCGGUUAUGUAAGACAGUUGUGAAAUCCCCGGGCUCAACCUGGGAACUGCAUCUGUGACUGCAUAGCUAGAGUACGGUAGAGGGGGAUGGAAUUCCGCGUGUAGCAGUGAAAUGCGUAGAUAUGCGGAGGAACACCGAUGGCGAAGGCAAUCCCCUGGACCUGUACUGACGCUCAUGCACGAAAGCGUGGGGAGCAAACAGG
rnacentral:rRNA from 1 species